rnacentral:rRNA from 1 species
GUCGGCCCCGCGCCGGCGACUCGCCGAAUGAGUUCUGACCUAUCAACUCGAGACGGCGGGGUAGAGGCCCGCCGCGGUAACGACGGGUAACGGGGAAUCAGGGUUCGAUUCCGGAGAGGGGAGCCCGAGAAACGGCUACCACUUCCAAGGAAGGCAGCAGGCGCGCAACUUACCCUAAUCUCGAUUCGAGGAGGUAGUGACAAGAAAUACCGAUGCGGGACCCUACGGGUGCCGCGUUCGGAAUGAGUACGAUUCGAACCACCUAACGAGGAACGAUCGGAGGGCAAGUCUGGUGCCAGCAGCCGCGGUAAUUCCAGCUCCAAUAGCGUACGUUAAAGUUGCUGCAGUUAAAAAGCUCGUAGUUGAACGUUCGGGUUCCGCGGGACGGGGCCGCCCCGCGAGGGACGGCGCCGCCCCGGGGCUCGUGAUAUCUCAUCUCGCCGCCCGUCGCGAGGCGGACGGAGGGAUGGAUGAGGUUACCUGGAAAAAAAUCGGGGCG